AGAGCAUACGGCGGAUGCCUUGGCGAUAUCUGCCGACGAAGGACGCGACAAGCUGCGAUAAGUCACGGGGAGGUGCAAAUGACCGUUGAUCCGUGAAUUUCCGAAUGGAGCAAUCCGGCUGUGGUCAUGCACAGUCACCCAUGCCUUUGAGUAUGGGAGGGAACCGGGCGAACUGAAACAUCUAAGUAGCCCGAGGAGAAGAAAUCAAACGAGAUACCCCAAGUAGCGGCGAGCGAACGGGGCAGAAGCCCAAACCGGAGAAGGAAACUUUUCCGGGGUUGAGGACCGUCAGACGAUAAGGAAGCCCAGCCGAAUCCCCUGGGAAGGGGAGCCGGAGAAUGUGAAAGCCAUGUAGGCGAAGGGCGGAUAAGGACAGACGGCACCAGAGUACCGCGGGACACGAGAAACCCCGUGGGAAGCCGGGGGGACCACCCUCCAAGGCAAAACACAGAUAUCGACCGAUAGCGCAUAGUACCAUGAGGGAAAGGUGAAAAGCACCCCGGGAGGGGAAUGAAAGAGAACCUGAAACCGUAUGUUUACAAGCAGUCGGAGACCGUAUAUAUACCAGGUCGACGGCGUGCCUAUUGAAGAAUGAACCGGCGAGUUAUGAGGUCCAGCAAGGUUAAGCAGGAAAUGCGGAGCCGAAGCGAAAGCGAGUCUUAAUAGGGCGAAAAGUUGGAUUGCAUAGACCCGAAACCACAGUGAUCUACCCAUGUCCAGGCUGAAACACAGGUAAAAAUGUGCGGAGGGCCGAACCUAUAUCCGUUGAAAAGGGUUAGGAUGAGGUGUGGGUAGGGGUGAAAUUCCAAUCGAACGUGGAGAUAGCUGGUUCUCCCCGAAAUAGCUUUAGGGCUAGCCUCGAGGUAGAGAUUGCAGGCGGUAGAGCACUGAUCAGGAGAGGGACCUACCCGGUUACCAAACCCAGUCAAACUGCGAAUGGCUGCAAUUAUACUCGGGAGUCAGACUACGACUUAUAAGGGCCGUGGUCAAAAGGGAAACAGCCCAGAUCAUCAGCUAAGGUCCCAAAUGCCGUGCUAAGUGGCGAAGGAUGUGGCGUUUCAUAAACAACCAGGAUGUUGGCUCAGAAGCAGCCACCAUUUAAAGAGUGCGUAAUAGCUCACUGGUCGAGAGACGCUGCGCCGAAAAUGUCCGGGGCUCAAGCACGGAACCGAAGCUAUGGCAUGACAGCAAUGUCAUGGGUAGGGGAGCGUUCUUAUAAGGAAGAAGCAUUACCGUAAGGAGAUGUGGACAUAUAAGAAGUGAGAAUGCCGGUAUGAGUAUCGAAAAGAAAGGUGAGAAUCCUUUCCACCGAAAGCCCGAGGGUUCCUGAGCAACGAUCGUCGACUCAGGGUAAGUCGGGACCUAAGCCGAGGCGGAGACGCAUAGGCGAUGGACAACAGGUUGAAAUUCCUGUACCGGAUGGAGUCAUUUGAGCGAAGGAGCGACGCAGGAGGGCACAUGAUCGCGCGGCUGGAAGAGCGCGUCCAAGUGCGUAUGCGUAGAGGGAGGCAAAUCCCCCUUUACAGAAGCAGAGACAUGAUGGGGAGUUAAAGGAGACUUUGACGAACUCAUGGAUCCCACACUGCCAAGAAAAACUUCUAGCGAGACGAAAUCCGCCCGUACCGUAAACCGACACAGGUAGGCGGGGAGAGAAUCCUAAGGUGCGCGGGAAAACCCUCGUUAAGGAACUCGGCAAAUUGCAUCCGUAACUUCGGGAGAAGGAUGACCCUGAGUAGGCGAAAGGGAGAAACCCCCGGAACAGAAAAGGGUGGCAGAAAAGAGGCCCAAGCAACUGUUUACCAAAAACACAGGUGCCUGCGAAAGCGAAAGCUGAAGUAUAGGUGCUGACGCCUGCCCGGUGCUGGAAGGUUAAGGAGAGAGGUCAGCGAAAGCGAAGCUUUGAACUGAAGCCCCAGUGAACGGCGGCCGUAACUAUAACGGUCCUAAGGUAGCGAAAUUCCUUGUCGGGUAAGUUCCGACCCGCAUGAAAGGCGUAAUGAUUUGGGCACUGUCUCAACGAGGGGCCCGGUGAAAUUGAAAUACCUGUGAAGAUGCAGGUUACCCGCGACUGGACAGAAAGACCCCAUGGAGCUUCACUGCAGCUUGAGAUUGAAUCCCGGUGACAUAUGCACAGGAUAGGUGGGAGGCUAAGAAGUAAUGCCUUUGGGUGUUACAGAGCCGAUGUUGGGAUACCACCCUUAUGUUGCUGAGAUUCUAACACGGAGACUAACAACCUCGUGGACCAUCUCAGGCAGGCGGUUUGACUGGGGCGGUCGCCUCCUAAAAUGUAACGGAGGCGCCCAAAGGUUCCCUCAGGCCGGA
rnacentral:rRNA from 1 species